UCGCAGUGGGGGUUAGUCUCGAAAGAGA
rnacentral:sRNA from 1 species